AUAAGGAAAAACAAAACCAUUCUGACAGUACCUCUUUAGCACCAGUGGCAACAGCCUCUGCUGCGUAGGUAGCACUGGCCGACACACUGGCGGCAGCACCCGCAGCGCCACUGAUGGUCAUUUGCUCCUGGAUACCGUAUCUCCCUUCCCAUCUCUCUUCUGUCCUGAUCUGAGUAGAGGUUGUCAGCCUUGUCUCUCUCAUCUCAGCCUCAGAUGAGGAGGCCACGUAUCCCUCUUGCUUCCAAGGGGGUGGCACUUCGGGACCUGUGGCCAUGGUGGAUGCCUGAGUCUUACGCGUGAGCAAUGGAGACCUAACAGACCUGAUGGGGGAUGUGGAGAUUCUUGCUGCCGGAGACACGGACCUGAAAACCAAAGGCAGAGGUCGAGAAUGUCAAAGCAAGUAGAGAUGUAUCCAAAGUGCAAGUAGCAUCAGUUGAAGAAUAUGGGUGCUAAAUCCCAGCACUGAUGGCCAAAAAAGACUAUUUCUGAUCUAUAGCAAUAAUUCUGGGGAUUGGACUACUAUUGUAAGGCCCCUCUUUUGAAGUCUGACAGUGGCAUCAAACAAAUCCAACGAGCCCUGGCUAGAAUCAGGAGACUUGGACUUCUCCAUUCUGGGCUU